rnacentral:rRNA from 1 species
CAGUCGCCACGGUAAUACGAAGGGUGCAAGCGUUACUCGGAAUUACUGGGCGUAAAGCGUGCGUAGGUGGUCGUUUAAGUCUGUUGUGAAAGCCCUGGGCUCAACCUGGGAACUGCAGUGGAAACUGGACGACUAGAGUGUGGUAGAGGGUAGCGGAAUUCCUGGUGUAGCAGUGAAAUGCGUAGAGAUCAGGAGGAACAUCCAUGGCGAAGGCAGCUACCUGGACCAACACUGACACUGAGGCACGAAAGCGUGGGGAGCAAACAGGAUUAGAUACCCCCGUAGUCCCUGUCUCUUAUAC